rnacentral:misc_RNA from 13 species
AGCUUAUUUGGGGUUCAAAUUGACUCUAGUAGGGAGUCUUUCUAAUAUCGACUCCCUAAUGGAGUCAUAUUGAUCCACAUUGAGCACCAGCACCAU